rnacentral:lncRNA from 1 species
UUUUUUUUUUUUGUUGAGAAUUUCGGUUUGGUUGAUGAGAAUUCUUCACAUUUUUAUGAUGUUUUGAACUGGGUGUUGAUCAAUUUCUUACAUUUCUUUUGGGUUUUGAAUUGGCUGCAGCAUAGAGUGAGAUUGGGCAAGUACAAGAGAAGCUCGGAUUCGAUUCAGAAGGAAGGCGAGAAUUUGCGAGCUGUUUGGAGUCCUGAUACCAAAUUGAUUGCAGUUCUUGUAAGUUAACAUUCAUUGGGAUUAUGAUGUCUUUGUAAUGUAAUGUGCUUGAAUAGAGAAGAAUGAAAAGAGAGUAAUUAUAUACCCAACAUCAACUGGUUAGAAUAGUUGGUUGGUGGAGUCCUUUUAUCAGUGUUAUGUAUAAUUUAAGUUGGUAGAGUAGCCUGUUUCACGUGAUCUUUUAGUGGGUAAAUGUGACAAUUUUGGUAUUUAAGUUAAAAAUUGUGCUCAACAGCGGAAUGGUCUAGGGAUCCCAAGUGCCUUUACAUAGUGUAUUGUCCAGAAUUUAUGGGAAAUGUGAAACUUGAUGAUUUCACACCCAUAAACAAUAAUAUAAGAUGUUCUACUAUUUGAAUUAUCUUGUAAGAGUAGCUUUACUUCUAUGGACACUUGAGAAGUAAAGUGCUUGCUGAGCUUUCUAGGAAAAUUGGGUUCAGAUUUAUACACUAUCAAUUCAAUUGUCUAUGGCAGUUGUGGAUUGAAAAGCUGAGGGUAAAUAUCAUGCUAAAUAUACUGAUAGUGUAAAAUAUUAACUUAAAUCCUGUGCGCACCCAAAGGGUAGCGGCUGUGGGUUUCCCUUGUCAUCAAAAAAAAAAAAACUUAAAUCCUAAAAUUAUUUGCUGACACUUCAAGACUGUUACUGUUUGUCGCACCCGUUUCUGAUGUUGAGAAGUUAGAGUUGCUUUGAUAUGUGUGAAGCAAUGAGUACCUUUUUAUUCUUUGUCUAACUUUGUUUGUGUGGCAGACCUCUUCCUUCUACCUACACAUUCUGAAGGUCCAAUUUACCGAUAGGAAAAUACAAAUUGGAGGCAAACAACCAACUGGUUUGUUUCUAGCAAGCAUAACUUUGCUCUUGAAUGAACAAGUGCCUUUUGCUAACAGGAACUUGACAAUGUAAGUUACCCUUUUUCUACUUUUUGACCAUUUAUAAUUUUAAUCUCAAGCUGUAACCUUCACCCUCGGAUCUUUCCUACCUUGAAAUAAAAACAAGUCUUCGGAUAUCCAUGAGAUGAGAAUUGUUUCAUUUAUUUUAUUUUGGAUAAAUGCAUGAGAUGAGAAAUGUUUUCUGAAAGGACCUUAUUUUCUUUAAAGCUACUAGAUGUCCUACUGGUCAUGAGUCAAAGGUUUGUUGGUACUCUCUCCUCACAACAAGUGAUAGGUUUCUACUAUUUCUUUGAUUCAUGAAACAACAAGUUUGUGGUGGAGUGGUAAGUACUACUUCAUCCUUAACCAGAGGUCUCGGGUUUGAGUCCCCCUGGCACAGAGUCGCCUUUAUUAGGGAGCUUUACCUCCCAAUGUGGGACUUUCCGCCGGCGCGAAUCCAGAUUUAGUUGGGCUCCAAGAGUCUACCCGGGUGGGAACCCCCCCCCCCCCAAAUAAAAUAAAAUACUUCUUCCCUUGCUUUUUGUUCACUAUGGACAUUUAUAUGAGACGUGAGGAUUGCAAAGUGCAAAUGCAAUCAGAUGAAAGAUUUGUCUCCAUCAAACUAUAUAAAGGAUGUUCAACUCUCUCUGCUAGUUUCUAAAGGGAGACUAACAGUUACUAGAAACCUCUGCAAAAGUCUUGAGUAUGAUUUUGUUAUACUUCUUAAUCCUAUAAAAUAACAUAUAAAAUCCUUACCACAAUUUAUAAAUCAAAUAAAUUGAUAUGUCAAAUAAAAAGAAUGUACAAAUGAGUGACUGUGGCUUGUGGGAAUAUUAGUACACGAUAGAAAGAUAUAAGACAUGAAAUAAUGAGUAGAAAGUGGAGGAAAACCUUUUCUCUCAUUUUGUUAGUAGAAUUUAUGAGAGUGAGGCAGAAAAUGUGACAAACUUUGUCAAGGGCGGCAUGAAAGUUGCUCCUCUUCCUUAAAUAAUAGCAUAGACAAUCUUAGUGCAAUUUUAAUACAAUACCUUAUUCUCCAAGAAAUAGCAUAGACAAUGGUAACAUUGAAUCUAUCUUCCCUAACAAUGAAGUAAAAAAUUUGGAUGAGCUAGCUUGAAUCCUAUGUUGUGGCACUGAUACAUUGCCCACCACUUAUCUUGAGCUUCUACUUGGGACAAAAUGUAAAUCAACAGAGGUGUGGAAUGGAGUUGUUGAAAAAUUUGAAAAGAAACUUUCUGCUUGGCAGAGACAAUACCUCUCUUUGGGAGGAAGGUUGACACUGAUCAGUAGUGUGUUGGACAGCAUCCCUACAUAGUUGGUGUCCCUUAUUCCAAUCCCCAGCGAAGUAGUGAAGCAACUGGACAAAGUCAGGAUAACAUUCCUAUGGGAGCAACAAGGGCCAUAGAUUUCACCUUGCUAAAUGGUCAAAGGUCAUCUUGCCAAAAAGAUUUGGAGGCCUAGGAAUUAGGGAUCUCUGCACCCACAACAAAUGUCUGUUGAUGAAAUGGUUAUGGAGAGUCAACCAGGAGGAGAAUCCACUAUGGAAAGAGGUUGUCAGGGUUAAGCAUGACCCCGGAAUCAUUGGUGUACGUUGCUCACCAGGAGUCCAUAUGGAGUUGAGCCAUGGAAGAGCAUCAGGAAACUAUGGAGUGAAUUUUUGUCCAACUCAUACUUCAAAUUGGGCAAUGGCAUUAACAUAAAAUUCUGGAAAGAUAAAUGGUUGCAAGGCUCUAUACUAAUAUUAGAUUUUCCUAACCUCUAUUAGAUAGCCCAAAAUCAAGACUCCACCAUCUCUCAGUAUUGGCAAGACAGUUGCUGGCUCAUUCUAUUCAGGAAGGGUUUCUAACUCUACCUGCCAUAUUACAAAGCUUCUCUGUAAUGGAAAAUGUAGUCGACAACAUAAGGUGGGGAAACUCCAGAAAUGGUCUCUAUUAUGCAAAGGCACCUUAUACUCCUCUAUGCUCAUCAAAUGAAAUCAUUGACAGGUGGUGUUGGAAAGUUAUCUAAAAGACUUAACUGCCUUUAAAGAUCUGAGCUCAGUCUAUUGUACAAUCUGCAUCUUCUUGGUGCUUUUAAUGAAAUCAUCUUACUUCAUCAAAAAAAAAAAACUUCUUGUAAAAAAGGAAAAGCCAUUGAGUUUGAACUUUAAGACAGUUGAGUCUGAUCCCGUUGUUGAUCUUGAAUGAAGAUAAACUUGUUGGUGAAUCCUGUGUUUCUCCAGUAUUUUAGAACUGGACUUUCUUAAAGAUUAUUUUGGUUUUGUAGCUUAAGUUGUCAAUUAAGUAGGACUAGUUUGGCUCAUAGUUUAAAUUGUCACCAAUAGUUUAUCUUCAUCUGUUACCAUAUUGAGAGCCUGAGUUCCUAUAUGUCUGUACUUUGUUACUUAUGGGACUUUGUGUUGUUUCACUGGAAGUUUAUUUUGUGGAGAAGGUAAAGAUAGUUCCGUUCAUGUCUUUCAUGCCGGAUUAAUUUCUUCAUUAUUUAACUCGUCGUCUAUUGAUCUCAGCUGAAACACAUAGUUUAUUCCCUGCAUAUGUGGCUUGCAGGAGCAAUGUAGUUUGUGACAACAAACAUAUGAUAGUUGGGCUUUCUGAUGGAUCUCUGUAUAAUAUAUCCUGGAAGGGAGAGGUAAUUCUUUUAAACAUGUCUUAAUUAUGUCGCACAUUAAUGUGAAAAUUUUAGAUGACAUUUCUAGUUUAUGUCUACUUAUUUAAAUUAAAGUCUAUAGUUGCUCAUUUCAGUUGGCAGAAAAUGUAGGAAAUGUUUGCUCAUGAUUUUUUGUUGUAUUGCAGUUUUGUGGAGCCUUGGAUGCCUUUGAUCUUGAUGUUCAGUCUCGGGAUGGCAGUGGGGUUCCUAAACUAGCAAGUUCUUUGGAAAAUGGUCUUGCUUCUGGCGGGAGUUUAUCUUUUUCAAAAUGCAGUCAUCAUUUGUCGAAAAACUCUGCUGUGAUCCAUUUGGAGUUCUCCUUACCCUUAAGGUUGCUUGUUGUGCUAUUUUCUGAUGGACAACUGGUCUUAUGUUCUGUGAGCAAAAAGGGUCUGAAGCAAAUGGAGUCUAUCAAAGCUGAAAAGAAACUGGGCUCUGGUGAUGCUGUAUGUGCUGCAGUUGCUUCAGAUCAACAACUCCUUGCUGUUGGUACCAGAAGAGGUGUUGUUGAGUUGUAUGACAUUGCAGAAUCUGCUUCGCUUCUGCGUUCUGUUUCUCUGUAUGAUUGGGGGUAAGCUUUUGCUGUAGACAUCCGAGUUUGGUAAAAGACAGUCACAAUUGGUUGCUGAUGAGAGAACCCUUUAGUGUAAAUUGCAUUUUGAUUAUUUUGUACCUAGCUAAAUUCAUUUAUUUAUGUCUGAGUCUUGUUUUGAAGUGUUUGUUAGCUUUUGAUAAUAGAUGAUUAAGUUAGUAAAUAAUAGUAUGUGGCAACUAAAUUUUAUAAUGAUCUGUGAUCCUCUGAUAAAAUUGGAAUGGGACAGAGAAGAUCAUGCCUGCGCAAAGUGACACACUCACAAAAGAAGGAUGUGUGUUUUAAGGCACCUGUUUUUCUCAAACGAUAAAAAACUAUUUAAGUUUAUUCAACGUUUCUUUUUCUGGUGUGUAGAAAGUAAAAUUGAAGAAGCAUCUGUGUAAGAUAAUUAUAUCUGUGAUCAUAAUGCCCAAAUUUUCUACCAAAGGGGAUUAUUUCAGUUGUACCAUCAACGGUCUAACCAAUGAUUAAUUUAUGCCUAUAUGCCCUUUUCAGAAAUAGUUUCGUGUGUAAACCAUGGGAAGCAUAUAUCUAUGAAAUCUUGGCAGUUAGCAGAACUAGUGUUGAAGCAAAAUCAUCACUAUGAACCAUUAAAAUGAGAAUAUCCUACCUAGUUGGUAUGAUUUGAGAUGUUUUAGAGUAGUACUGGCUCUCUUUAGCUCUGGCUUCAUCUCUUUAGAAUGAAAGGAAGGUGAUGGAAGAUUUUGUAUGAGGAAAAUUGUAACACUAAACAAAAAAUAUUGGACUUCCUUGACUUUCAAUAACCUGCAAUUCUUCUGCAGAUAUUCAGUGGAGGACACUGGUGCUGUCAGUUGUGUUGCUUGGACACCUGAUAAUUCAGCUUUUGCAGUUGGGUGGAAGUUAAGAGGGCUAACAGUUUGGUCUGUUUCUGGUUGUCGCUUGAUGUCCACCAUUCGUCAAAUUGGCUUAAGUUCUGCAUCUUCUCCAGUGGUCAAGCGAAAUCAGGAAUGUAAAUAUGAACCUAUGAUGAACGGUACCUCGUUGAUGAACUGGGAUGAAUAUGGAUACAGGCUUUAUGCUGUUGAGGAAGGAUCUUCAGAGAGAAUAAUUGCAUUCUCUUUUGGAAAGUGCUGUCUGAACAGAGGAGUCUCUGGGACUACUUAUGUCCGACAAGUAAUCUAUGGUGAAGAUCGGUUGCUUGUUGUGCAGACAGAAGAUACUGAUGAACUAAAACUCUUGCAUCUUAGCCUACCAGUUAAGAGCUAUUUUUUACUGAUGAGUAUGGUUUAUUCAUAUUUUAUGUUGCUUUUGUUUUUCUUUGUUGAGACGGUAUAUCUCUAAUGUAGUUCAACUCUCCGCUAGGUUUCCUACAUCUCUCAGAAUUGGCCAGUUCAACAUGUGGCUGCUAGCAAGGAUGGAAUGUACUUAGCAGCUGCUGGCCUUCAUGGACUGAUCUUAUAUGACAUAAGAUUGAAAAAGUGGAGAGUUUUUGGAGAUGUCACUCAGGAACAAAAGAUCCAGUGCAGAGGCUUGUUAUGGCUUGGGAAGAUUGUUGUUGUCUGCAACUAUGAUGAUUCUUCUGACGGGUGAGCUAUCUAUGUGCAUUAGCUAAUACCUAAACAGCAUCAACUUAUGCUGUAUGAGGAUAGAUGAGCAAUUUACAUUUGUUAUUACGUUUUACACAAGGUAUGAUUGUACAAGAAAUGUAUAUUCGUAUAUUGGAUUUUCUUACACCUUACUGCUGGUUAGCGUUGACUUUGCUGAAUUUGAAGGUCUGUUCUAAUAUUUGACCUGGUUUAUUAAGAAACUACUGUGUGUUUGGUUUGCGCUUAGAUAGCAAUGCAUUUUAGGGGUGAGAUAAUCAUUAUUAAUCAGGGAGCAUCUAGCAGUAAAGAAGAACAUCUCUUGGCAUGAAAAUCUGGAUGAGCGAUGGGUAGUUGAAUAAAUGAUGAUCAUAAGUGGAAAACAUCAGGAAUGUUUUGAAAACUAAAGAACUUAUAUGCAUCUAGUUGAAUAAGCAGCUACCUUUUUUGGUGAUAUGUUAGCUUGGCCACUAAAGGGUGCAGCCUGGGUGGAGUGGCAUUCUAUUCAGGAGCUCCAAGUUACAAAUCUUACCCUUGAAUGUUGAAUGAUAAAUAAUGUUUUACUAUAUGACUCAUGAUCUGUAUGGUCACAAGAGGCAGCUAGUAUGUGAAAUGGAUGUCCUUCUGCUCAGAAGAGAUUUCUUAUGGUCAGACAGAUGCAUCGAGACUGCAGAAAAUAUUGUUAACACUUCUAUGUCUCAAGUGUUUGCUGCAGAAUCUUCUAUUUGUCUCUGCUUCUGUUUGAAUAUAUGGUCAGUAUUUUUAAGGAGUGAGAAGGUCAUUUUUCUGAUUUAAGGACCAAUGUAGCUUUCCAGUUGUAGAUUGAAUCUUUUAGAUUCUAUGUUAAAACAAAAAAAAGGAUCUUUUAGAUUGUAUCUUGAGGGUUCUUAAAUAAUAGCUUUUAACAGCACUUGUUCAACUUUGAUUUGUAUUGCAGGUAUGAAUUGCUUUUCUAUCCCAGAUAUCACCUUGAUCAGAGUUCACUUCUAUGUCGGAAACCUUUGCUUACCAAACCGAUGGUCAUGGAUGUUUACCAAGAUUAUCUUCUUGUCACUUACCGACCUUUCGAUGUCCAUAUUUACCAUGUGAAGUUAUCUGGUGAACUAACGCCUUCGAGUUCUCCCGAUUUGCAGGUGAAACUUCCUUGGAGUAAAUGCUCUAUAAAACUGAGUCAAAGUUUCUUUUGCAUUUUACAGCUCAAGAUAUAUAUCACAAUUUCUUUUGAAUAAGAGUAUUGUGUCUGUCAUACGUUUUUAAGUGAUAACAUGACAAACAGCUUUCUACAGUACGAGAGCUAUCAAUCAUGACUGCAAAGAGCCAUCCUGCAUCAAUGCGUUUUAUUCCUGAUCAGCUCCCAAGAGAAGGCAUUGCAGGAAAUGGUGGUCUGUCAACUUCUUUGGAUCUGUCAGUCCGAGAGCCUACCCGGUAUGUACUUAUUGCUGAAUGUUUACAUCUCUGAGUUGGACCCUGCAUUGCUGCAUGCUAGUAUUGAUGUGUACUGAUAAGUGAUAUGUGCUUUAGGACUUUGUUGUCAUUUUCUAGUGCUUGCAUGUACUUUCAGAUGCUUAAUACAAAGGACAAAUGGAGAGCUUUCACUUCUUGAUUUGGAUGAGGGGAGAGAAAGAGAACUUACGGACUCUGUAGAGUUGUUUUGGGUUACCUGUGGUCAGUCAGAGGAGAAAGCAAGCUUGAUUGAGGAAGUUUCAUGGUUAGACUAUGGCCACCGUGGAAUGCAGGUAACAGUUUUCUUUAACAGUUAGAGUUAUUUUGUAAAUUAUGUACUUACCUUACAAGUCUGAUUUAUAUACUGGUUAAAAGCUCCGUAUUACAGGUUUGGUAUCCAUCUCCUGGUGCUGAUGUUUUUAAGCAAGAGGAUUUUUUGCAGGUAUUCAAGAUGUUAUUGCUAUAGUCCACAUAGUCUUUUGUCUUUGAUUUUACACUAUCUAUAAUUGUCCAUAUUUCAGUUAUUAGUAGCUCUUUAAUGAUUCAAGAAAUAUAGCCUUUGGUCUGUUUUGAUAUGCACUGGUGCAUGUGAAAAGUUUGCUUCCCUUUUCUUUCUUUUCACUUGAGGGGAGGAGUUGGGAAAGAAGAUUAAAGAGAAGUUGUCAGUAUCAACAAGAUCAGGGGAAGUAAAAAGAAGCCGAGAUAUUUUCUGGUAUAGGUUGUUUGGGAUAUUGGAAGUGCUUAAGCAUUUCUCAAGGUCAAACACUUUAGGGGCUAAUUAAAGUUAAAAACAGUGGAGUCCCGAGUGAAAUAUAGCUGAAGGGUGGAACCUGGAUUGAAGUUUAAAUAAUGGAUCAUUUCAUGAUGUCAUUUGAAAAGAGAAUUGAAAUACCUUCAUGGACGUACUUCUUGCCUAAAAAAUUAAGAUUCAUCUUUUGCCAAAUUUAAGCAUCAGAGUAUUAUUAUUGAUCAUCUUUAGUUUAUGACCAAACUAAGGUCCACGGAUAGUUAGCAUUACUGCACCACCAGUUAUGACCUUAGCUUAUCAUUUAUUGCCCCGGAUCAUUAACUACCAUCACACAUAAAUUCUCUUUAAAAAGAGAGCCUAUUAUCAUGCACAAACCUAAAAUCUCAUGAUCUGUCUUUCCCUUUAUGUCUAAAAUUGCAUCUACUGUUCUUUCAUUUAUUUGAAUCUACGGUGUGAACUUGUAGUUGGAUCCGGAGCUGGAUUUUGAUCGUGAGGUUUAUCCUCUUGGUUUGCUUCCAAACGCCGGAGUUGUAGUUGGCGUCUCCCAGAGAAUGUCAUUUUCCGCAUGUACAGAGUUUCCAUGUUUUGAGCCAUCACCUCAAGCUCAGACUAUUUUGCAUUGCCUACUUCGACAUCUUCUACAGGUACCUUGCAGUUGUUACAUUCAAAGGGUAAAGUGAGACAACUGAUGCAAUAUCUUUUUAUUGAUAAAAAGGUGGAAGUUUGGAAACAGGUUAUCUUUCUUUAGUGGCGAUUAUUUUUAAAUUCCAAACUAAGAAAAAAAAUAUAUCUUUCUCCAAGGAAGUUGAUGGUGACAUUUCUGUCAAAUCAUUGCUUUUGAUUUUCCAUAUGGAGAAGUGCCAAGUGCUACGUUUUCUUUGCACAUUUUUUUUGAGAGAGUUAUAGUAUAUAACAAUGCAAUUGCAUUACCCAUUAUGUGCUUUGAGAGAGAGAUAGAGAGAGAUAGAGAUAGAGAGGAGUAAUGGUAUGUAAACAUGAAAUUGCAUUACCCCGGGUGUGAACCGCGGGAAUGGAGCUCAUUUUUCACUUUACAAUGUGCUAGAAAUUUUAAAAUUGUAAGAUCGUAAUUACAUAAUUUCUAUUAAAUGACAGUGCAGUAUAAUGGACUUCAACAUUCAUUUUAAUUUGUCCCAAAUCAAAUCAUGAAGUUCUUCCAACCCUAGUUGAAUGCUUUCUUUUGUUUAUUCAGAGCUAUUUGAGGUAUUUUUUGUGCAUUAGAAUGAUGAUUAAUUUAUAUUUAAAAAUAUUAUUAGAUAUUUAGAAAAUGAGAAGUACCACUAGAUGAAACGUUUUGCACUUGAGUGAGAAGUACCACAACAUGAAACGUUUUGCACUUGAGGAAUAGUUUUUGUUUUAUUGAGUUAUAAAUGUGAUUUUUGAUUUAGAAGGGAUUUUCAAGAUUGGAAUGUGGGUGGAUUUCAAAGAUUACUAGCCUUCAUAUGCAAGUCAAUCCGGUGGAUAGCCUCGAUGGUUAGUGGUGGCCCUAGGAAAUGGAGUGUUCUCUCUGAAGUCCUUAUGAGAAACUUUUGAUUAAGGUGGAGUCUGAUUUCCCAUGUAAUGCGAUAUGGGUUUCAAUUGUGCUGAGAAAUGUGUGCUUUUUCACAUGGCUAGCUACUAGAGGGGUGAUUUUGAAAGCGGAAGGUUAUCUCCGUCAAUUGAUGUUACAUGUGUAAGGAGGCGGGCAAGGACGUGGAUCAUCUUCUUAUACAUUGCCUAACCAAUGAGAUUAUGGUGGGAUAUGUUUAGGUGGUUUGGCACCCCUUCGGCAGUGCCAAACACACUGUGAAAGAGUUGAUGUUCAGUUGGUAGAGUGGGAGGAGGAGAAGACGAAGGGCAUGGAAAGCCCUUUGAGUUAGCUACCUAACGCACUUCGUUUCACCUCAUUCGGAGUUCGGACGAAGAAGUUAUGCCCAUUUUCGUAAAAUCUGUCCGGCAGGAAAGGCAAUUUCCAGUGAGCGUUUUUACUGUUCACCCGCCUCAUUUUUUUUUCUAAGUGUUGGACCAUUUUUCCAAAGGGCAUAUGUUAUUUCCUAUAUACCAUUAGUUCAAUUCCCAUCUCUAAAACAUUUCCCAAAACACCUCUCCCAUACUUAGACACAUUUUCUCUCAAGUUCUCUCAAGAACCCUAAUCCAAAACCUUCCUCAAGAUUGAAGAGACUCUUGCUCCAAGUUCCAAGCUUCCAUUGAAGACACUCUCAAGACCUUCAUAAAAACUCAAGGUAUGUGGUGUUGAACUCAUGGGUCCUUCCACCCAUAGUGCCUAGACUCUAUUCUACUCACUAAUUCAUGGUUUAAGUUAAGAUUCAUAAAUUAGUCUUGUUCUUUGUAAUAAUUUCCUGCACAUUGAAUUUUAAACAUGAAAAGUGAUUGUUUUGAGCAUGUUGUGACCCUAGAACUUGAACCUAAAUUUGGAAUGGAUGUGGAGAUUUUCAUGUGGUAUUGUGGGUGUUAAAAAGGUGUUGUUGUAGGUUGUUCACUGGUUUGGCUGCAUAAUUACUACCCUAUUUUCCAUGCUCUUUGAUUCCAUUACAUGCCUUCAAGGUGUUUGACAAAAUGUCCAACUAUGGAGAAUUGAUGAAUCGAUGCUUUAAAGCUUGAGUUAUGAGAUGUAUGGAAAUCCAGAGAUGUGUUGAUGACAAACUAAGCUUGUGUAUAUGUUCAUUCCAUACGUGAGAUUGCAUUAGAGCCUAAUGGGAAUUUCCUAUAUAAAGUGUUGCAUGACCAUGCCCGGUCCGGGGGAAAAGAACCGGACAACCAUGUGAGAGGUUUAUAUCUCACCACCUAGGAUGCUUGGGGUGUGACCAACAUCAACCAUGUGAGAGGUUUAUAUCUCACCACCUAGGAUGCUUGGGGUGUGACCAACAUCAACCAUGUGAGAGGUUUAUAUCUCACCACCUAGGAUGCUUGGGGUGUGACCAACAUCAACCAUGUGAGAGGUUUAUAUCUCACCACCUAGGAUGCUUGGGGUGUGACCAACAUCAACCAUGUGAGAGGUUUAUAUCUCACCACCUAGGAUGCUUGGGGUGUGACCAACAUCAACCAUGUGAGAGGUUUAUAUCUCACCACCUAGGAUGCUUGGGGUGUGACCAACAUCAACCAUGUGAGAGGUUUAUAUCUCACCACCUAGGAUGCUUGGGGUGUGACCAACAUCAACCAUGUGAGAGGUUUAUAUCUCACCACCUAGGAUGCUUGGGGUGUGACCAACAUCAACCAUGUGAGAGGUUUAUAUCUCACCACCUAGGAUGCUUGGGGUGUGACCAACAUCAACCAUGUGAGGGGUUUAUACCUUGCCACCAGGGUGUCCGGGUGUGAACGGCAUCCCUCAUCCUAAGUUGGGGUUAUAGAUUGGUUGGAUCAUGCAUACACAUAUGAUAUCUACUAUUAGUAUAGAGUUACUUAAACAUGUUUUGACUUCACUUUGAUCAUGCAUCCUCAUAUUGUUAUUCAUAAUGCCUAUGAAACUAUUUCUUGUAUUUCGAUUGUGUCCUUGUCUAUUGUUGUGUUGCACCCCGCAUACUUAGUACAUUCCAAGUACUAAUGCAUAUUUUGCCUACAUGAUGUCACCAUGUAGGGACCUGAGCUACUCUUGAUCCUUCUCUUCGUUCACGUGGCUAGUACGGCCAAAAAGUUGAUUAACGGGACAUGGCGAAUGAGGAACCCGAAGGAACCCCAAACAAGCCUCUCAAACUUGUCAUCACCAUGUGAGAGGUUUAUAUCUCACCACCUAGGAUGCUUGGGGUGUGACCAACAUCAACCAUGUGAGAGGUUUAUAUCUCACCACCUAGGAUGCUUGGGGUGUGACCAACAUCAACCAUGUGAGAGGUUUAUAUCUCACCACCUAGGAUGCUUGGGGUGUGACCAACAUCAACCAUGUGAGAGGUUUAUAUCUCACCACCUAGGAUGCUUGGGGUGUGACCAACAUCAACCAUGUGAGAGGUUUAUAUCUCACCACCUAGGAUGCUUGGGGUGUGACCAACAUCAACCAUGUGAGAGGUUUAUAUCUCACCACCUAGGAUGCUUGGGGUGUGACCAACAUCAACCAUGUGAGAGGUUUAUAUCUCACCACCUAGGAUGCUUGGGGUGUGACCAACAUCAACCAUGUGAGAGGUUUAUAUCUCACCACCUAGGAUGCUUGGGGUGUGACCAACAUCAACCAUGUGAGAGGUUUAUAUCUCACCACCUAGGAUGCUUGGGGUGUGACCAACAUCAACCAUGUGAGAGGUUUAUAUCUCACCACCUAGGAUGCUUGGGGUGUGACCAACAUCAACCAUGUGAGAGGUUUAUAUCUCACCACCUAGGAUGCUUGGGGUGUGACCAACAUCAACCAUGUGAGAGGUUUAUAUCUCACCACCUAGGAUGCUUGGGGUGUGACCAACAUCAACCAUGUGAGAGGUUUAUAUCUCACCACCUAGGAUGCUUGGGGUGUGACCAACAUCAACCAUGUGAGAGGUUUAUAUCUCACCACCUAGGAUGCUUGGGGUGUGACCAACAUCAACCAUGUGAGAGGUUUAUAUCUCACCACCUAGGAUGCUUGGGGUGUGACCAACAUCAACCAUGUGAGAGGUUUAUAUCUCACCACCUAGGAUGCUUGGGGUGUGACCAACAUCAACCAUGUGAGAGGUUUAUAUCUCACCACCUAGGAUGCUUGGGGUGUGACCAACAUCAACCAUGUGAGAGGUUUAUAUCUCACCACCUAGGAUGCUUGGGGUGUGACCAACAUCAACCAUGUGAGAGGUUUAUAUCUCACCACCUAGGAUGCUUGGGGUGUGACCAACAUCAACCAUGUGAGAGGUUUAUAUCUCACCACCUAGGAUGCUUGGGGUGUGACCAACAUCAACCAUGUGAGAGGUUUAUAUCUCACCACCUAGGAUGCUUGGGGUGUGACCAACAUCAACCAUGUGAGAGGUUUAUAUCUCACCACCUAGGAUGCUUGGGGUGUGACCAACAUCAACCAUGUGAGAGGUUUAUAUCUCACCACCUAGGAUGCUUGGGGUGUGACCAACAUCAACCAUGUGAGAGGUUUAUAUCUCACCACCUAGGAUGCUUGGGGUGUGACCAACAUCAACCAUGUGAGAGGUUUAUAUCUCACCACCUAGGAUGCUUGGGGUGUGACCAACAUCAACCAUGUGAGAGGUUUAUAUCUCACCACCUAGGAUGCUUGGGGUGUGACCAACAUCAACCAUGUGAGAGGUUUAUAUCUCACCACCUAGGAUGCUUGGGGUGUGACCAACAUCAACCAUGUGAGAGGUUUAUAUCUCACCACCUAGGAUGCUUGGGGUGUGACCAACAUCAACCAUGUGAGAGGUUUAUAUCUCACCACCUAGGAUGCUUGGGGUGUGACCAACAUCAACCAUGUGAGAGGUUUAUAUCUCACCACCUAGGAUGCUUGGGGUGUGACCAACAUCAACCAUGUGAGAGGUUUAUAUCUCACCACCUAGGAUGCUUGGGGUGUGACCAACAUCAACCAUGUGAGAGGUUUAUAUCUCACCACCUAGGAUGCUUGGGGUGUGACCAACAUCAACCAUGUGAGAGGUUUAUAUCUCACCACCUAGGAUGCUUGGGGUGUGACCAACAUCAACCAUGUGAGAGGUUUAUAUCUCACCACCUAGGAUGCUUGGGGUGUGACCAACAUCAACCAUGUGAGAGGUUUAUAUCUCACCACCUAGGAUGCUUGGGGUGUGACCAACAUCAACCAUGUGAGAGGUUUAUAUCUCACCACCUAGGAUGCUUGGGGUGUGACCAACAUCAACCAUGUGAGAGGUUUAUAUCUCACCACCUAGGAUGCUUGGGGUGUGACCAACAUCAACCAUGUGAGAGGUUUAUAUCUCACCACCUAGGAUGCUUGGGGUGUGACCAACAUCAACCAUGUGAGAGGUUUAUAUCUCACCACCUAGGAUGCUUGGGGUGUGACCAACAUCAACCAUGUGAGAGGUUUAUAUCUCACCACCUAGGAUGCUUGGGGUGUGACCAACAUCAACCAUGUGAGAGGUUUAUAUCUCACCACCUAGGAUGCUUGGGGUGUGACCAACAUCAACCAUGUGAGAGGUUUAUAUCUCACCACCUAGGAUGCUUGGGGUGUGACCAACAUCAACCAUGUGAGAGGUUUAUAUCUCACCACCUAGGAUGCUUGGGGUGUGACCAACAUCAACCAUGUGAGAGGUUUAUAUCUCACCACCUAGGAUGCUUGGGGUGUGACCAACAUCAACCAUGUGAGAGGUUUAUAUCUCACCACCUAGGAUGCUUGGGGUGUGACCAACAUCAACCAUGUGAGAGGUUUAUAUCUCACCACCUAGGAUGCUUGGGGUGUGACCAACAUCAACCAUGUGAGAGGUUUAUAUCUCACCACCUAGGAUGCUUGGGGUGUGACCAACAUCAACCAUGUGAGAGGUUUAUAUCUCACCACCUAGGAUGCUUGGGGUGUGACCAACAUCAACCAUGUGAGAGGUUUAUAUCUCACCACCUAGGAUGCUUGGGGUGUGACCAACAUCAACCAUGUGAGAGGUUUAUAUCUCACCACCUAGGAUGCUUGGGGUGUGACCAACAUCAACCAUGUGAGAGGUUUAUAUCUCACCACCUAGGAUGCUUGGGGUGUGACCAACAUCAACCAUGUGAGAGGUUUAUAUCUCACCACCUAGGAUGCUUGGGGUGUGACCAACAUCAACCAUGUGAGAGGUUUAUAUCUCACCACCUAGGAUGCUUGGGGUGUGACCAACAUCAACCAUGUGAGAGGUUUAUAUCUCACCACCUAGGAUGCUUGGGGUGUGACCAACAUCAACCAUGUGAGAGGUUUAUAUCUCACCACCUAGGAUGCUUGGGGUGUGACCAACAUCAACCAUGUGAGAGGUUUAUAUCUCACCACCUAGGAUGCUUGGGGUGUGACCAACAUCAACCAUGUGAGAGGUUUAUAUCUCACCACCUAGGAUGCUUGGGGUGUGACCAACAUCAACCAUGUGAGAGGUUUAUAUCUCACCACCUAGGAUGCUUGGGGUGUGACCAACAUCAACCAUGUGAGAGGUUUAUAUCUCACCACCUAGGAUGCUUGGGGUGUGACCAACAUCAACCAUGUGAGAGGUUUAUAUCUCACCACCUAGGAUGCUUGGGGUGUGACCAACAUCAACCAUGUGAGAGGUUUAUAUCUCACCACCUAGGAUGCUUGGGGUGUGACCAACAUCAACCAUGUGAGAGGUUUAUAUCUCACCACCUAGGAUGCUUGGGGUGUGACCAACAUCAACCAUGUGAGAGGUUUAUAUCUCACCACCUAGGAUGCUUGGGGUGUGACCAACAUCAACCAUGUGAGAGGUUUAUAUCUCACCACCUAGGAUGCUUGGGGUGUGACCAACAUCAACCAUGUGAGAGGUUUAUAUCUCACCACCUAGGAUGCUUGGGGUGUGACCAACAUCAACCAUGUGAGAGGUUUAUAUCUCACCACCUAGGAUGCUUGGGGUGUGACCAACAUCAACCAUGUGAGAGGUUUAUAUCUCACCACCUAGGAUGCUUGGGGUGUGACCAACAUCAACCAUGUGAGAGGUUUAUAUCUCACCACCUAGGAUGCUUGGGGUGUGACCAACAUCAACCAUGUGAGAGGUUUAUAUCUCACCACCUAGGAUGCUUGGGGUGUGACCAACAUCAACCAUGUGAGAGGUUUAUAUCUCACCACCUAGGAUGCUUGGGGUGUGACCAACAUCAACCAUGUGAGAGGUUUAUAUCUCACCACCUAGGAUGCUUGGGGUGUGACCAACAUCAACCAUGUGAGAGGUUUAUAUCUCACCACCUAGGAUGCUUGGGGUGUGACCAACAUCAACCAUGUGAGAGGUUUAUAUCUCACCACCUAGGAUGCUUGGGGUGUGACCAACAUCAACCAUGUGAGAGGUUUAUAUCUCACCACCUAGGAUGCUUGGGGUGUGACCAACAUCAACCAUGUGAGAGGUUUAUAUCUCACCACCUAGGAUGCUUGGGGUGUGACCAACAUCAACCAUGUGAGAGGUUUAUAUCUCACCACCUAGGAUGCUUGGGGUGUGACCAACAUCAACCAUGUGAGAGGUUUAUAUCUCACCACCUAGGAUGCUUGGGGUGUGACCAACAUCAACCAUGUGAGAGGUUUAUAUCUCACCACCUAGGAUGCUUGGGGUGUGACCAACAUCAACCAUGUGAGAGGUUUAUAUCUCACCACCUAGGAUGCUUGGGGUGUGACCAACAUCAACCAUGUGAGAGGUUUAUAUCUCACCACCUAGGAUGCUUGGGGUGUGACCAACAUCAACCAUGUGAGAGGUUUAUAUCUCACCACCUAGGAUGCUUGGGGUGUGACCAACAUCAACCAUGUGAGAGGUUUAUAUCUCACCACCUAGGAUGCUUGGGGUGUGACCAACAUCAACCAUGUGAGAGGUUUAUAUCUCACCACCUAGGAUGCUUGGGGUGUGACCAACAUCAACCAUGUGAGAGGUUUAUAUCUCACCACCUAGGAUGCUUGGGGUGUGACCAACAUCAACCAUGUGAGAGGUUUAUAUCUCACCACCUAGGAUGCUUGGGGUGUGACCAACAUCAACCAUGUGAGAGGUUUAUAUCUCACCACCUAGGAUGCUUGGGGUGUGACCAACAUCAACCAUGUGAGAGGUUUAUAUCUCACCACCUAGGAUGCUUGGGGUGUGACCAACAUCAACCAUGUGAGAGGUUUAUAUCUCACCACCUAGGAUGCUUGGGGUGUGACCAACAUCAACCAUGUGAGAGGUUUAUAUCUCACCACCUAGGAUGCUUGGGGUGUGACCAACAUCAACCAUGUGAGAGGUUUAUAUCUCACCACCUAGGAUGCUUGGGGUGUGACCAACAUCAACCAUGUGAGAGGUUUAUAUCUCACCACCUAGGAUGCUUGGGGUGUGACCAACAUCAACCAUGUGAGAGGUUUAUAUCUCACCACCUAGGAUGCUUGGGGUGUGACCAACAUCAACCAUGUGAGAGGUUUAUAUCUCACCACCUAGGAUGCUUGGGGUGUGACCAACAUCAACCAUGUGAGAGGUUUAUAUCUCACCACCUAGGAUGCUUGGGGUGUGACCAACAUCAACCAUGUGAGAGGUUUAUAUCUCACCACCUAGGAUGCUUGGGGUGUGACCAACAUCAACCAUGUGAGAGGUUUAUAUCUCACCACCUAGGAUGCUUGGGGUGUGACCAACAUCAACCAUGUGAGAGGUUUAUAUCUCACCACCUAGGAUGCUUGGGGUGUGACCAACAUCAACCAUGUGAGAGGUUUAUAUCUCACCACCUAGGAUGCUUGGGGUGUGACCAACAUCAACCAUGUGAGAGGUUUAUAUCUCACCACCUAGGAUGCUUGGGGUGUGACCAACAUCAACCAUGUGAGAGGUUUAUAUCUCACCACCUAGGAUGCUUGGGGUGUGACCAACAUCAACCAUGUGAGAGGUUUAUAUCUCACCACCUAGGAUGCUUGGGGUGUGACCAACAUCAACCAUGUGAGAGGUUUAUAUCUCACCACCUAGGAUGCUUGGGGUGUGACCAACAUCAACCAUGUGAGAGGUUUAUAUCUCACCACCUAGGAUGCUUGGGGUGUGACCAACAUCAACCAUGUGAGAGGUUUAUAUCUCACCACCUAGGAUGCUUGGGGUGUGACCAACAUCAACCAUGUGAGAGGUUUAUAUCUCACCACCUAGGAUGCUUGGGGUGUGACCAACAUCAACCAUGUGAGAGGUUUAUAUCUCACCACCUAGGAUGCUUGGGGUGUGACCAACAUCAACCAUGUGAGAGGUUUAUAUCUCACCACCUAGGAUGCUUGGGGUGUGACCAACAUCAACCAUGUGAGAGGUUUAUAUCUCACCACCUAGGAUGCUUGGGGUGUGACCAACAUCAACCAUGUGAGAGGUUUAUAUCUCACCACCUAGGAUGCUUGGGGUGUGACCAACAUCAACCAUGUGAGAGGUUUAUAUCUCACCACCUAGGAUGCUUGGGGUGUGACCAACAUCAACCAUGUGAGAGGUUUAUAUCUCACCACCUAGGAUGCUUGGGGUGUGACCAACAUCAACCAUGUGAGAGGUUUAUAUCUCACCACCUAGGAUGCUUGGGGUGUGACCAACAUCAACCAUGUGAGAGGUUUAUAUCUCACCACCUAGGAUGCUUGGGGUGUGACCAACAUCAACCAUGUGAGAGGUUUAUAUCUCACCACCUAGGAUGCUUGGGGUGUGACCAACAUCAACCAUGUGAGAGGUUUAUAUCUCACCACCUAGGAUGCUUGGGGUGUGACCAACAUCAACCAUGUGAGAGGUUUAUAUCUCACCACCUAGGAUGCUUGGGGUGUGACCAACAUCAACCAUGUGAGAGGUUUAUAUCUCACCACCUAGGAUGCUUGGGGUGUGACCAACAUCAACCAUGUGAGAGGUUUAUAUCUCACCACCUAGGAUGCUUGGGGUGUGACCAACAUCAACCAUGUGAGAGGUUUAUAUCUCACCACCUAGGAUGCUUGGGGUGUGACCAACAUCAACCAUGUGAGAGGUUUAUAUCUCACCACCUAGGAUGCUUGGGGUGUGACCAACAUCAACCAUGUGAGAGGUUUAUAUCUCACCACCUAGGAUGCUUGGGGUGUGACCAACAUCAACCAUGUGAGAGGUUUAUAUCUCACCACCUAGGAUGCUUGGGGUGUGACCAACAUCAACCAUGUGAGAGGUUUAUAUCUCACCACCUAGGAUGCUUGGGGUGUGACCAACAUCAACCAUGUGAGAGGUUUAUAUCUCACCACCUAGGAUGCUUGGGGUGUGACCAACAUCAACCAUGUGAGAGGUUUAUAUCUCACCACCUAGGAUGCUUGGGGUGUGACCAACAUCAACCAUGUGAGAGGUUUAUAUCUCACCACCUAGGAUGCUUGGGGUGUGACCAACAUCAACCAUGUGAGAGGUUUAUAUCUCACCACCUAGGAUGCUUGGGGUGUGACCAACAUCAACCAUGUGAGAGGUUUAUAUCUCACCACCUAGGAUGCUUGGGGUGUGACCAACAUCAACCAUGUGAGAGGUUUAUAUCUCACCACCUAGGAUGCUUGGGGUGUGACCAACAUCAACCAUGUGAGAGGUUUAUAUCUCACCACCUAGGAUGCUUGGGGUGUGACCAACAUCAACCAUGUGAGAGGUUUAUAUCUCACCACCUAGGAUGCUUGGGGUGUGACCAACAUCAACCAUGUGAGAGGUUUAUAUCUCACCACCUAGGAUGCUUGGGGUGUGACCAACAUCAACCAUGUGAGAGGUUUAUAUCUCACCACCUAGGAUGCUUGGGGUGUGACCAACAUCAACCAUGUGAGAGGUUUAUAUCUCACCACCUAGGAUGCUUGGGGUGUGACCAACAUCAACCAUGUGAGAGGUUUAUAUCUCACCACCUAGGAUGCUUGGGGUGUGACCAACAUCAACCAUGUGAGAGGUUUAUAUCUCACCACCUAGGAUGCUUGGGGUGUGACCAACAUCAAUCAUGUGAGAGGUUUAUAUCUCACCACCUAGGAUGCUUGGGGUGUGACCAACAUCAAUCAUGUGAGAGGUUUAUAUCUCACCACCUAGGAUGCUUGGGGUGUGACCAACAUCAAUCAUGUGAGAGGUUUAUAUCUCACCACCUAGGAUGCUUGGGGUGUGACCAACAUCAAUCAUGUGAGAGGUUUAUAUCUCACCACCUAGGAUGCUUGGGGUGUGACCAACAUCAAUCAUGUGAGAGGUUUAUAUCUCACCACCUAGGAUGCUUGGGGUGUGACCAACAUCAAUCAUGUGAGAGGUUUAUAUCUCACCACCUAGGAUGCUUGGGGUGUGACCAACAUCAACCAUGUGAGGGGUUUAUACCUUGCCACCAGGGUGUCCGGGUGUGAACGGCAUCCCCCAUCCUAAGUUGGGGUUAUAGAUUGAUUGGAUCAUGCAUACACAUAUGAUAUCUACUAUUAGUAUAGAGUUACUUAAACAUGUUUUUGUAGGAGUGGAAUCGAGUUUCUCUCAGUUGAGGAGUAGUCUCCGAUCCCUCAUUUUCCUUUGGUGUAAACAGAAAGUUCCAGUUAGACUGGGUGGAGUUUGUAGAGAAUCAUGUUUUAUAAAUUCUUUACUUUUUGGUAUACUCAUUGAGUCAUUGUAUACGGUCAGUUUGUCCAUGUUUAUUAAUGAAAAUACUAAUACUUAUACUUGAUAAAAAAAAUUGAAAAAUGUGAUUUUUGAUAAGAGAAGUCACAAGUACACAAAACUUUUCAUGAUAAGGUAGCAAUCUUCUUAUUUAUUUGACAAAAUGUAAAGUAAAAUUUUUUGUUUGUUGGAAGAUUUUUAUACAGCUCAAUUUGUGGACGUUUAUGCAUUUAAUCGUUCGUGUUUAAUCCUAAUCCAUGCACCUGUUAGUAAGUAUUCAUGUUCUAUGUCUAUUAUCGAUAUUUUGGUAGACAAUUUUUUUGGAUAAUCCGUAUUUUUUCCCUUUUUCUUUUUGUCUGUGUGUGUGUUUUAGGUGUCUCUGUUUUCAUCUGAAUAAGCAUUCAUUUCCGUGACGCUGCUAUAAUCUUUAUGGUUUGUUAACCGCGAGGAUUCACAUGAAACAAAAUUAACAAACAACUUCAUUUUUUGUGAUGAUCUCUCUUACUGUUUUGGCAGAGGGAUAAAAAGGAAGAAGCUCUAAGAUUGGCACAAUUAUCAGCAGAGAAGCCACAUUUUUCGCAUUGUUUAGAGUGGCUCCUUUUUACUGUGUUUGAAGCCGACAUUUCUGGGUAAUUUUUACCAAUUAAAUAAUUUGUAAGAUUAUCACUUGCUAUCCAAAGUACUCCUGCUGACCUUUUUAUCAUGGAUAAUUUUCCAGAAUUUAGAGUUCUGAUAUUCAGGAAGCUUCUGUGGGAACAUUGUUGAAUCACAAAUAAUGUCUUGCUCUAGUAGUCCGUCUCCCUCCAACCCAUUCAUAAUGAACACUUAUGGAGUACCAAGGAUCCAACAGUCUUAUUUCAAGAUUAAUUUUUUUUACAUCAAUGCCUUUAGUUAUUUAAAUUACAAUUCACAUAGUCAAAAAGCUAUACAAAAAGUAGUAAGAAUCACACUUCUAAAAUUUAAUGGUUUUAGAUGUGUUUUAAGAAAAUCAUAGUAGCUAAAGAAAACCCAGUUGACCCUGACAAUAGUAGUACUAGUUUUGAGAAAAAAACAGUUAUAUAAAAUGAGGUAGAGUUUAUUUUUGUUGAAUGUUGUUUCUUGGGGCAUCUUUUGUUGGAACUUGGAAGUUUCUUCUUGAGGUAGUCACUAAUUUUCUAUGACUUUGAUCUGACAGUCUUCUCUUAGCUCUUUUUUCUCCCUCUGCCAGCCCCCAGAACACACUUAUAUUUUCCAUCAUGUAGUAAAAUAUGCGUCUUCUUUUACAGGAGCAAGAAUCAGAGUGUUAUUCCCAAUCAUUCAACAAGUUCCUCACUUCUGGAUAAGACAUGUGAUUUGAUUAGAAAUUUUCCGGAGUACUUUGACGUGGUCGUUAGUGUUGCAAGAAAGACUGAUGGCCGGCAUUGGGCAGAUUUGUUUGCUGCUGCUGGGAGAUCGACCGAGUAUGUAAAAGAAUUUAUUCUUUAACUUGUACGACACUACUGAAUGAGUUUUAACAAAACAGCAGCUUUGAUGUAUAUUAAAAGCCUGUUAGAUAGACCAUAGUUUGUAGAAACUGAAUUUUGCUUGUGUCGAACUCCAUUAUUAGCUAAUUUGUCUUUAUAUUUAGGUUAUUUGAGGAAUGUUUCCAAAGGAGAUGGUAUCGAACUGCCGCUUGCUAUAUACUAGUAAGAGUUACAGCCUUAGAGGCUUUCAGUUUCAAAUUUCUGUCUGUAAUCUCCAUCUUGUCUUCAGCUACAAAUUGUAUAUCUCUUCUAAAUUUCCCCUUUUUUAGGAGGGGUCUGGGGAUACUUUAAUUUGUGUUGAGAAUUAUCUCUGAAGAAAUCUUACCUUUGGAUGUCUUUUGCUUAACAUACUUCUUGCUGCAGGUAAUUGCUAAGCUUGAAGGUCCAGCUGUAAGUCAGUAUUGUGCAUUGCGUUUGUUGCAGGUAAUCACGUGCAGAUGUAAUGAAUUUUGGCCUUUUAUCCAUGUAAUGCAUUAAAGUAUUUCCCUGGAUAAGUAUAUAUGUUUUUGUUAUCCUGCUGAAGAAAUUAAAUAGGCAGAAAAUGUUGCAGAUAUAGUUACAUAUGUACAAGGAAAAAGUUUAAUGAACAAUCCAAGAUUAAGUAAUUUUUGUCGCUGAAUGGUUUCGUUUAGAUGUGUCAAAACACACUGUUAAGGAUGUCGAUAGUGGAUGUUCUUUUCAACAAUUUCCAUGACUUUUGUCGUCUGUAAAACAUCAAAUUGACUGGGUAAAGGAUAAAUGAUAUUUGGUCCCAGGCAUUUCAAAUUUUAUGAAGAUCUCAAUGAGCUUUAGUUCAAUUUAUUUCCAAAUGGAAAAUCAAAUGAACACAUGCUUGGUAAAGUCAAAUUUUCAGUAACAUCAACAAGUUUGGACUUAUUCCUUGACCUCACAUGGUGUUCUCCACUUGCCCAGGCAACAUUGGAUGAGUCUUUAUACGAACUGGCAGGGGAACUGGUAUGAACUUUGAUGUCAAUCAUGUUUUUAACAAGAUUGUCUUCUUUGUGUGAACUGUUCACAUUUUUUUGCUUGGUUUUCAGGUGAGGUUUCUUCUCAGAUCUGGACGGGAAUAUGAACCCACAACCACUGAUUCUGAGAAGCUAUCUCCUAGAUUCUUUGGAUAUUUUCUGUUUCCUUCUAGUCACCGGAGGCAAACUUUGGAGUCCAAAGGGUAGAUGUUCUUUGUUUUAUUUUAGAAAAAAUUGGCACCUAAGAUUCUGGUGCUGAUGAUGGAAGAAGACUUGCACUUACUUCAUUCCUUUUUCUUAUAAUUUUUUUUGGAGCAGUUCAUUUAAGGAGCAGAGUGCACAUGUUGCUUCUGUUAAGAAUAUUUUAGAAAGUCAUGCAAGCUAUUUGAUGUCUGGAAAAGAACUGUCAAAGCUCGUUGCAUUUGUGAAGGGCACGCAGUUUGAUCUUGUGGUAUGAUUGACAAACAUUUCAGAUUGUAUCUUAUUAUGUUAUUAAAAACAGAUCAUGUGAUAUAAAUGUAUUGCAGGAAUAUUUGCAGCGAGAAAGAUAUGGAAGUGCUCGUUUGGACAAUUUUGCUUCAGGCUUUGAACUUAUUGGGCAGAAGGUACUAACAAUUAUUGCUUGGCAACGCUAUUUUGAAUGCCACAAAUGUAUCAUCAUAUUAGAUGUUUCAUAUCAGAUGGAUGAUAGGGUGAAUUAUGUCCAUAAACUAUUUUAAGCUCUUGCAUCACAAGGGUUCUUCUCUUGGGGAUGUGUUGGGGCAUUUUGUCUCCAGAGAAUAUGAGAAGUUUCUACUUCAUGAUCAAGUUAUGAGUUUAUUGAUCUUUGUGUUAAGAAAAGUACUCUUAAAUUAAUUUCAAUCUCUUGGUUUCAUGCUUUGUUCCUUAUUUAUGUCCAUAGAUGUUCCAGUUCAUAACUUUUGACUUAUGCUAAUGAGUUCCCAAAUGGUGCCCGAAUUUCUUUUUUAAGAUGUAAUUCUGGUAAUAUGUUUGCUGAUAUGCAUUCUUAAAGUAUGUUCAGCUAUAACUGUUGUUGAACUUAAUACUCAUACUGAUAAUCUUGUUUCGUUUGAAUCAUCAGCUUCAGAUGGAAACAUUGCAAAGUCGUUUAGAUGCAGAGUUCCUUUUGUCUCAUAUGUGCUCUGUGAAGUUCAAAGAGUGGAUUGUAGUAUUGGCCACACUUUUGAGGCGGUCUGAGGUUUGGCUAACUUCCUUUAACUGGAUAUAGGAUAUUAUAGAUAUGUUGCCUUAACUACAUGAAAAAUGAGUUUGCCAUCAGUUUUACUUUGUUCCCGUUUGGGAGAACCUCAAAUUCUGCUUAUUUUGAGAAUUGCUUUUGUUAGUUGCAACUCACAUGAGGUUCCUUUUGUUAUUUUUGCUCAGGUCUUGUUUGAUUUAUUUCAGCAUGAUUUACGCUUGUGGAAAGCAUAUAGCAUUACUUUAAAGGUAAAUUUGAUACAUUAUUUCUUGGAUACGUUGACUUUAUUUGUGCAUCUCACUGUGGUUUUCAUGUGCAUCUUCAGACCCAUCCAUCAUUUGUUGAAUACCAUGACUUGCUUGAAAGUUUGGAUGAAAAACUUUCAUCCACUUCAAAUUCAGAAGAGACGUGAGCUCUCUGGAUGUAAAGAGCGCCCUUGGUCAGCUUUGCUAUUAAUGGUUAAAAGAGCUUCCAGUGAGAUUUUCUACUUCAAGCUUUAACCGCACCAACUUGAAAUCAGCAUCAAUGUGUACUGCUCUAUUGGGAAGGGGGUUGAGCGGCUCUGCAAAAGGCACGAGAUGAGAUUUUCGGUUCCUGUUCUACUUUUACCCAUCUGUGUCCUGCAGAAUUUAUUUUGUAGAUAGGCAUAUCAUUGCUAUUAGUUCUUCUUUGGUUUCCAUGGUCCUGUUUCUUUUUCAUGAUUUAUAGUUUGUAUCAAAUUUUAGCUUUUUCAUCAAGGGUGUGGGUGAUCGUAAUGAAAAGGGACACCUCUUGUAUGAAAGAUCUGAUCUUCCGAUAAAUAGAGAAUAGAGAAGAUUUUGUGCAUUACUGCAUCACUUUUUCCAUGUUCCUUUACUUCUUUUUUAUUUAUUUACAGUUUAUACCAGAUUUCAUCUUUUUCAUUGAGGGUGUGGGCGAUUGUAAUGAAAAGGGGGGACUCUUGGAUGAAAGAUUUUGAUCUUCUGAAAGUGAGUAUCCAGAAUAUUUUGUGCAUUUCAUCAUGUGGACAAAUAAAGCUGAAUAUUUAUGCUUCAGAAUUCUUCACCCCAUAUUACUUCUUCUGAUUGUUAGAUCUAUGGUUCUGGGAGACUGCGUAGGAUACUUUAAGAAGAUAUGUCAAGCUUUGCCUGUUCAAAAUUGUAUGUAGGUAUUAUGGGUUGCGAUUUGCAAUGAAAGAAAGAUAGAAGCAUAGCACAAAAUCAUAUUGUAGGAGUGGGAAUUGGAAUUUGUUGAUGGAAAGAUAAAACUAGGAAACUGGGAAGUUUCAGACCUUGUCUUGGUUAAAGUUAUAGAAACUGUUGUUUGGUUAUACAUCAAUAAUAUGUUGGGAAUGAGAUGGUCAUAGUUUAGUCUAAUUUCUCAGACAAAUACAGGUUCCAUUCGAAUCCCAUGAACCUUAUUUCCUCUUCCAAAGGCUACUUACAAUACCUUACAUAUUAUAUUCGACAAAAAGUAAUGUUAUCUUGGGCAACCAUACCCACAAUACCUAUUUUAAACACACAUAUUGAUCCAACCAGAAGACUGGAACAUAUUACAGGGCAUAAUAUCUACAUAGAUACUGCUGCAUUCUUAUAGAGUCCUUUUAAGGUAGCUCUGGAAAUCACCAGGUGAAGCUGAUGGACUCGAAGUGCAGAUUUUCAACCAACCCAGAUGAGCAAAUGGCUGCUACGUCAUGCCUCAAGGUCUUCGGUCCAGAGGCAAGUACUCCAACACUUGAUCCUUUAACUUCUAGCAAUAUUCCUGCAAAAGAAUUUCAUUUAGUUACCAAACAUAGAGAGUCGGGAAACAAAGUACUACUUAGUAGUUUUGAUUAUGCAAAUAUAUUGUAGUAAUUACUCUUGAGAUCAGGUCGGUGGCCAUAAUGUGUCUUGAUAGAUUUGUCGAGCGAUUGUUGAGGAAGACUUUCUAGCUCUUGAUCAGCAUAAGCUAUUAACAAGUUUAAAGAUUUUGCUGAAUCUGCCAUGUCCUGAAUCUGCUUAGUUUCCCUAGCACUUUUCUUCUUGUUCCAUAGGAAGGCUGCACUUGCUGCAAUUACUAUAGCAGCUGCUAUAAACAACAUGUUGAACAAAGCCCUUGUGUGGUAUGGGAAUACCUUGUUAGUACCAUGGUCCAUAGGGUAAACAUAGUAUUGGUAAAGAAGUCCCACAAAUAGAAGGUACAGAGCAAACGAAGACGAUAUUAUAGCAGCAAGCCAGAGCCAGUUGUUCUGGCCUAAAAUGGGGGUUAUUGGUGCGUCAGAGUGGUCAGGUUUGAACAAAAUGGUCCGUAGGGGUUCAGAUUUUUCAUGUGCUGGUUCAAUCUCUCUGGUUAUAUAAGCCUCAAUUUGUAGGUCAAGAUUAGAAGAACAUCCUGAAGGAGUGCCUGCUAUAGGAAGAAGUAGGUCUAACAUAGAGAGUUGUGAAGUGUUCCUGAACACACUAACUAAUAAGAUCUUGGGAGUUUUGCAUUUCAGUGUUGAGCUCAUAUAAAUCAGCUCUCUGAUGAUUGAAAUGAAUGGAGUUAUUCCACUUCCUCCACUGAUCAACACCAAUGUGUCAUGCCUGUCAUCAAAAUAGACCACACCAUCACAAAAUAUACAUAGGGGAACUACAUUGACUUGGAAGAGUUUAAGCUCGAUGUACAGACGGAGUAAAAAAUCUUCAUAUGUUAGUCGUACUGCUAGUACGACUAACAUGUUUACAAAAGUUAGAAAACACUGAUAGUGUAAAACAUCUCUAACCUUAGGAAAUGAGUGGAAGCAGGUCCAUAGGGUCCUUCAACAGAAACAUCAAGACGAUCGACAGAGGAAGGCAAAGACAUGACACUGUAAAGCUUCUUAGUCCAACUUCCUUCACAUUUAAUGACAACACUAAUUGUUUCUGAUUCCAAGUUACUGUUUGAGGUUACAGUGAAUGGAUGCCACUGCAAUUUGGAUAUGCUUGGCACAUUUAGGAACGUAAUACUUGUCGGAGAGUACUCCAAACCUACAAAUUAGAACAAGUAAUCGUCCAGUUCAAAGUGAGAUAGGUAACCUGGAAAAUGAAAGACAGAAUUGUAGCUAGGCUGAACUAACCUGAUAUUUUGGAGAAGUUGAGUUCAACAGUUUCACAAGUCAAAACUCGGGCUGAAAUCAAACGAACUUUUUGCUUGGAUUGCAAGAAUCUCAAGUAUCGAUCGAUCAAGAAGAGGAAGAAACCAGGAAGCAUAAUGCAGGCAUAGAACAUUCCAGUGUGGAGUAGGUAGAAAACCAUGAAUAGAAUGUAGAGAUAAUGUGUGUAGAAGAAGAGUUCAAACAUUCUUCUUCUAAUUGCUGGAAAUGUUGUAGCCCACAAUAUUAAUCCAACUAGUAAACCAAGUUCUCCAGGUACAUUUGAUAUGUAAUGUGGAUCCCAUGUCAACAUCUGCAUCAAACCAAGAUUAGCUAGUAAAAAAGAUAUGAUCAAGGCAAUCAAUUAAAAUAGAAGAAUUAACCUAAGUAUUCAUCAACUGAUCAAAUGUGCAUAACUCAUGUGUAAUAUGUGUAUAAUCUAUGUAUAUCGGCUAGAAAAAAAGUCAACAAUGACUCCGGCCGGCUAUUUAUGUAAAGAUAAUCGUUGCUUAGACUAAAGAUAGCCACAGAUGUAUAUAUGCAUAAUCCAUGUAUUAUAUGUGUAUAAACAUAUAUAAUCAAAGUAUAGUCUAUGUAUAUCGUUAAAGAAAAUAAACUACUAUAGCUAUAUCUGGCGAAAGCAUCCGAAAAUUACACUACAUUUUUAUAAAUAGUCAAAUAUUAUCUGUAUUUUGUGUAUAUUUAUUAAAUUUUAAAUAUCCUUAAUGAAAUUCUUGAUUUCCCCAUUAUCACAUAGUAUUAUUUUGAUUUAUACUCAUACAUGCAUGAAUAAUUAAUUAUAGUUAUAAUAUGAUUAGGUCAUUUAGGUGUCAUGGUGAGGUGGGUAUCUUCUAGAAUUUUGAAAUAUAGAUACCAAAAUGGAUGUCACACUUGAACCUUUAAAUCAUUUCAUUUUUUUAUUAAAUAGGGGAAUAUUCUAUAAAGUUAGAAAACACCAAACAGAAAGCAGAAAGUUCAAACAAAUAUUUGAUUUAUGUGGUCCAAAAUUCCACUCACUUGCUGUGUUGUGUCACACUCAUACCUAAUGGCUAUUGAACUUUUUUUUGAUGAAUAAGUUUCCAAUUCUAGUGGAACUCUAAUUUAGUGUUAAGUCAAAGAGGUUCCCCACAUUUAACUGUCUCACCAAACUUUUAUUCCUUUUAUAUUUAUCUUAACUGUGUAGUUAAUCAACCAUCAACCAUGUGUUGUCUUCCCUUGAAAGUUAUGAAAUCUAUUUUUAUUUUUUUUACAAUUCCUUAGAUUUUAAUUUUUCAUAUGAUAUGUUUAAGAUUACAAGAUUAAAUUUAUUUUUGGUAUAUCUGAAGAACACCAUAUUCAAAAGUCGUCUUCUUAAGUUCAGAGUUAAGUUAAAAUAUGAUAAAUAAAUUGAACGGAAGAAUUACUAAUAAAUUGAAAUAUUUGCUACCUAUUUGCAUUACGUUAUCUUACUAUGUAUAAAUAAAGUAAAAUAAUACUUGUCAAUUUUGUGAUUUUCUUUUUCCAAUUUGGCAACGGGAAGGGAGGGAUUUUGAGAAGUGAAUUUAGACUUCCAUCGAUAUUAUUAGACUGAACGUAAUUUGGCAGUUUAUGGUAUGAGUUUGUUUAUUGAGGAAAAAAAAAAAGCUUAUAUGGAAAUUAAAAAGGAAAUUUAAUCAUUUCUUUUUGUCUUGUUUUGAAAAAGAGCUUAGGUAGAAAUUGAUUUGCUUUUUGAUAUGAAAAGAGUAAAAGGGUUUGUUGAUAGAAAAAGGAUUAAAAAAAUGUAAUGAUGAAAUCUUCUGUAUUAUUAGUUUAUCACAUUAUUAUAUUUUUGGUUGCUCCUCUCAUAAUGUGACAACUUACACACACAUAUAUAGUGACUUUAAAAAGAGUGAUGAUACAUAACUAUCUAGUUUUGCCUUUAAGAAUUUGAACCUCAGGUGCGUUCGAUGUGAAGAAAAAUAUUUUUUAUGGAUAUUAUUUUAAGAAGAAUAUGUGAGUUUUUCUAUUUAUUUAUAUUUUUUAUGUUUGAUAUAUAAAAAAAAAAAAUUAUUUUAAAAAUAUUUAUAUAAAAAUUAACUGGAGAUGAGAAUAUAGUAGUAGUUUACCAGAUAAAUUGAUAAGUCAAACAAUUUCAAUCCACCAAGUGAAAUUAGUGAUUUCUUGAUUACGAUCAAUCAAGACUAAAGGGUAUGGAUUGUUGGUAACGAGGGCUAUUAGGAUGGGGUAAAGAUGAGGUGCACAUAUUGGAGAAUGGGGAGAACACAAUUAACAUGAAAUACAAUUCAUGAAACUUAUUUUUUCUACUUAUACAACAAAAUUUAUUUUUCUCAUUUAUAAGAAAUUUAUUUUCCAGAAUGAUAUUUCUGAAAAAAAUUUACCAAUAUUUUUCACUAUACCAAACACACCCUUCUUUUUAAAUUGAGUGUCAAGAUAAGAAUAAGGCAGGCACAAUUAUUUCCAAACAUAUGCAUAGUAUGAAUCUAAAUUUUCCUUUACGACUUUAGACUAUGAAUGCAUAUAUCUUCUUUUUAAAGAUAAUUUUUUAAAAGUAAAACUAUGACAAUAAUUAGAAGUAAAAUUCAAUAAAGGAUACCAACUACCCUACAAAUGUUAAGAGUUAGUUGUUCGAUCUACAUCCAUCAAGAAUAAUAAAACUAACAAAUAUUAUAUUGCUAUUAGUUUUUCACAUAUUUUACACCACUUCCAAUUUGUUUUAAAGUUAUACCUCAUAUUGUUUUUCUUUCACUAUUAGUGAAAUUUAACAUGUAAUAACAUAUUAAUUAUUAUUUUAUCAAAUUAACGUAUCACAGAGAUUUAUCUGUAAUAUAAUUACCGUACAAUUUAUAAUUAGUAACCAAAUUAUAUUAAUUUUUUCUUCACUAUCAAUGCAAUUAAAACUUAAUCUCCUUACAUAUGAUGUAUUUUUGUGUUGGUUGAAAAUAAUCAAUUCUCCACUAGUUGUUUGUUAUGGUUGUUAUUAUUGCUCACUUCUCAAAACUAUGAAAGUUAAAGUCCAAUUAGGCCACCAAAAAUUUAAACAUAUGGUGGGGUUUGAUUUGAAACACAAGUGAACUUAAUAUUCACACUUUCUUUUUAGUGUGGGCACUAUCAAAUGUCAUUAUUGAGUGGCAAAACCAAGAAAACUUAAUGUGUAAUUAUCAUCUUAACGUUUUCUUGAAUCUUGAUUAAUUAAGUAGUUUCUUGUCCAUCAAAACUCUUUUUUCUUAAUUCAUGUACUAAUGGAUGCGGUUACGCAAUAAUUAUUUACACAUCAAAAUCUUUAAAAACCCCAACACCAACCCCCCCCCCCCCCAAAAAAAAAAAAAAAAAAANNNNNNNNNNNNNNNNNNNNNNNNNNNNNNNNAAAGAGUUUAAUGCACAAAAUUAGGUUAGCACUUAGCAUUAUUAGAAAAUUGCUAAUUUUCAACGAAUCAUCAUUGAAAAUCUCAUUUCAUGUGUGUCAGGGUUUUAAAAAGAGUUCUUGGGAUGUACAAUGAUUCAUAUAUUAAGGUCAUUUUUAUUAUGUAGAUCGUCACUUAGGAUUGUUACUGAGAAAAAUCAUACAUUCUUGGGGCGUAUACCAUUCUAUAAAUGAGUUCAUAUCAGGAAAAACCUUUUUUCGCUCCGCUUAGCCUUAUUACCUUUUUUUGUUCCGCUUAGCCUUAUUACCCCAUUUUAACACACAUUUGAUAUUGCAAUUAUUGAAAUAAUAUACUAUAUAUUAAUAAACAUGGGAAUGACAUAAUUACCUCAUGUAAUCUCCCAGAGACAGCCCAAAAGAGAAUAAAAAGAAGACCAUGAAUAGUGAAAAGUGUCAUAGCCAUAUGUCCCAACCAUAUAUGAUAUUUGAUGCUGCCUUCUGAAGUUAAUCCCAAAAGAGGCAAAAUUGAAGAGCCUCUACUCACUGGAUAAAAUAGAAAUGUUAAACAUAUAUUCCCCGUUAGCCCUAUCACUAAAGCCAACCUAUCAAUUCUUGCUUGCCACCUACAGAAUUUUCACCACAAAACAAAACUUCAGGGAAAAGAGUCUAGUCGAUUAGGUUUGACAAUCAGAAGAAAUAAAACGAAAUCAGGAUUUAACUGAAAAAUAAGUAUGACUAUGAAUAUCAUGAUCGAUCACUAUCGAAAAAGAAGAAUGCUAUCAAUCCCUCACCAAAAUUAAGACUAGAAAAAGGUGAAAGAAGAAAUUCUAUGCAUUUUACUCUUGAGUACUCUUGACUACUCAAGUAUUCAUUAAUAUAGUAAGUGAUUAAAAAAACUAAAAAUUAAAUUUUAUACAUGUUACACUUUGAGUCUUGACUACUUAAGUAUUCAUGAAUAUAAUAGUGAUGUUCAUUCUAUUAUUGUCACUUUUUUCGUUCUCAAGUAUUAGUCGUUUAACAGAUUGAACUUGUUUCUAAAUAUUUGACUAUUUAAGUAUUCGUGAAUAUAUAUAAUAGUGAAACCAUCAUAAUUUUCAUUCAAUUGUUGUCACACUCUUCCGUCUCAAAUAUAAGUCGUUUAACAAAUUGAAAUUAUCCCAAAAUAAUAUUUGACUUUAUAGACAAGCAAGAAUAAUUUAAUUUACACGUUUUUUUUUUCUAAAUUAAAUUCAUCCUUAAUUCUCUAAUUAGUGAAGUAUUAAUUAAUUAAGUGGGAUAUUAUUAAUUACUACUCCCUCCGUCUCAUUUUAUAUGUCACAUUUUAACUUUGCACUUGCAUUAAGAAAUGGUGUAACUUUACCCUUCUAUCUUUAUUUAAGUUUUUUGAAACUCAAGUUUCCAAUCAAUGAAUAUGAAUUAAUUUAUUUUGAUAUUAAUUUAACCUAUGAACAUGAAUCAUUUACUUAGUUUUUCUAAGUUGGUCAAAUGUAUGUUUUCAAUGUUAAUAACUCACAAGGGUAAAAAAGGAACAAUAUGCUAAUUUAUGCAUUGAUUUAAUGAAAUGAUGACGAGUAUUAUGGACCAACUAUUUAUAAAAAGAGAUGACAUAUAAAAUGAGAAGGAGGGAGUAGUAACUUAUAAGUAGAGGAUAUUAGGAUACCUAUUUUUAUUUUUUGAAAAAAAUUGAUCUAAAAAUGAGCGCACUUUUUAAGUUUUUCAACCCCUCCCCCCCCCAAAAAAAAAAAAACUAAAAAAAAUGCUUAAAACCCAAAAGCACCUAAAAAUAAACUAAUUCUAAUUUUUUUUAUAUCUUUAUAUAUAUACGUGUGCAAAAAUCUUAAAAGAUAGAUAAUAUAAACGAAAAGGAGAAACUUACACUUCAACUCCUUUAGUUGCUGCAUAAGUAGUAAUGGUACUAUAGUGAAAAUAGACAAAUGCUGAGAAAUACCAAACACAUAGAAUAAUGAACAUGGCUAGAAAAAAUAGUUCUAUCCAUGUCACUAUUCCUAAUGGUUUGAUGAUUUUUGGCUUCUUCAAUAUCUUCAACCAAUCUUUAUUGCUGAAAUUAAACAACAAUAAAAAUAAUUAAAUAUAUCAUUAAUCUACAAAAACAAAAAUAAAAAUAAAAUAUUGUUGUAUAUAUCAUACCGAUAUGAUGAAGUGACAAUAUCACUUUUUUUCUUCUCUAGAUGGACAUAAAGACAGCCCAAAACAGCUAUGAAUAAGAUUGGGAAUGUGAAGUUCAUCAUAAUGGGACCUGUAAAAUAACCACCAAGAAUCAAUUUUAUAAUUUCUUUUAUUUACCCUCAUCUCAACAAGAAAAAAGAGAAACAAAAGAAAAAAACAAUGAAGUCCAAUUUUCAUGCUAGUAUUAUUUUCUGUAUCGUUCUAAUUUUAUCAGAAAUUCCUAAAAACCAAGGGUGAAUGUAGUUAAACACUUAUGAGUUCAUUCAAACUCAGUUUGUAAUUGACUCGAACCUUAUAUACAUAUAUAUUAAAAGAUCCACUAAAUAAGCAUAAGUCGAAUCCAGUAUUAAAUGUGUUCUGAUGAACCUUAUACACAUACACUACUAAAAACACACAAAUUUCCCACGAAUUUUUUCCAAGGGAGCUCCAUCGGAAAAGUUUCUAACAAGCCAAUUUUCAAUUUUCCUUGAAAAUUUCCAUCAGAAAUUCACGUGUUUUUAGUAGUAUACUUCCAAACUCAAAUUUAUAAUAUUCAAAUCCUGAAUCCACCUCCGUCAAAAUGAGGAAAGGGAUGGAAAAAAUGGAAGACUUAAUUAAAAUUAAAAUACCUUGAAUAUCAAAGAAUGUGGAAUUGGUGGCAGCAACAAGAACAGGAACCCAUUUUUGAUAAUAUGUAAAAGUUGGCAUAAUAACCCACAUCAUUAAAUUCCCAAGAAAUAUUGUAAGUGCUAAAGCUAAUAUUGCUCCUUGUAUCAUUCUAAUUUUUCCAUCAGAAAUUGAUGAUGAUCUCUUAUUCAUCACCUCCAUUUUUCUUGUAACAAAUUAGUUUUUGUUUAAUAUUAGAAAUAUAUAGCAAAUAAGUGUUUACAAGUUGUAUGCUAUAAAUAAGCAAAAUUUGUAUGGGAUGCUGACUUGACAAGAUUAUUGCACCUCUCAAUGGUCUAGUGAUCUUGUCUUCCUAGGGCCCCAUUUUCCAUAUAUUUUUCAUUUUUUCAUUUUUUUUCACCUAACUUUCAAUUUUUUUUACUAAAUAUUUGAGUAAAAGUUAUAUAAAUCAUCAGCGUUAUCAGAUCACUUAAAAUAUAUUUCACAAGUAAAAUAGCUAUGGUGAAUGUAUACAUGGCAUAUAUAUCAUUUUAGUUCGAUUUGUAUCUAACACCCUAACCAAAUGCAAUAUAUUUUUAGUUACUACUUUUGUAAAUAUAUAUUUUCUUUUAGCAAUUACUAAUUAAAGAUUGUUUUGUUGGAUUUCUUAAUGACAAAAUGUAGAAAGUAUUAAAACACAUAUUUAAAAGCAAACCAUUUUUUAAAAAGAUCUUUUGGCUUUAGUUUUGUACCAUGAAUCUUGUGGUUGUUGCCUUAGAUUUUCUCUCUUUUGUUUAUUUUUUAAUUUUAUGAUAUUGUUGCAGCUUGGCUAUGGGAGAGUAGGUAUAACAGUAUCAUAAAAAUAUGUAAAAAUAAAGAAAUACACUAUAUAUAUAUAAAAGUGAACUUGUGGCCUUAUCCUGCUUUAAGAAAAAAAAAGAACACAAUACAAAAAGAUUGCAGGAUAAAGUAAAUUAGUGGUAGACAGGGGUUGUACUCCAUAUAUAAUUAAUAUAUAGUUCUCCAUAGUUUCUUCUACUAUAAAAUAUUUUAGUAAGUUUAAGUUUUGCCGAUAUUUUAUCCACUUCAGAUUUUACUGUGUAGAAUUAUAUUGAAAUGUUAUUAUUGAGGUAAGGUUAAUGACUUUUAAAAAGUAUAGUAUACCUAAAAUCAACAUGAUUGAAAUAGAUUCUCAACUUAUUAGUAUCAUCUUCACAAAAAAGAAAAAAAUCAAUUAUUUCUUUUUUUUGCUAAACUUGUAUUGAUUUCACCAUAUAAUUAAUAUGCUGUCAUUCAAGACAAUUUCCUUUCAUGUGUGUUUAGGCUUAUUCUAUUUCUUUUUAGUACAUCUUCACUUACUAUGCAUAUUUUCACAUCUAUGGACCAUUCUAUCAAAAGGUCGAUGCAAACUAUGAUUAAACCAUCUCAAUCUAAAUAUUCUCUCUUGAUAGAGUGCAUAAUAUUCUAAUUUUUCCAUAGUUGUAUUUCCAAAUACACUGCUUAUUUUUGAAUAUUUGUACUUCAAAAUUAGGCAACUCUAAAUAUAAUAGUAUCUAUCUCUCCGGUGAUAUAAGAUCCGUUAUUGAAUCAAUCCUUAAUUUCGUUUCUUUUUAUUGUCAUAAAAAUGUCUAAUUCGAUUAGUAAGUCAAUUCAAUCUUCUUGACUUUAUUUAUAUUCAGCUUCAUAUUUUGCUUUUUGUCCUUCAAAAUGGUAGCGAUAUCAAAUCAUAAUAUUAAACUCGACUACCACAUAACCUACCAACGUUUGAGUAGGAACACAUAGUAAUGAAAAUCAAAGCUCCCCAAAACUACAUGAAUUCUAUCUUUUAAUAUAAUUCAGGUCUUACUUAAAUGUAUGUAUGGUUGGUAAUUAAUAAUUAAUUCCUCAUCAAGCAUUUUCAAUUUCAUAAUUGUACUAAUUGACCUUUGUUUCAGUUGGAAGUGUCUAGAGGCCUCUACUUCUGUUGACAAGUCAUUUGCCACCAAAAAAAGAUUUCUAAUCACUUGUCCUACCACUGAAGAGAAUGUAAUAAAUAAUAGUAAUUUUCUUUAAAGUAAAAAAUAAUUCAAGCAAAUGAUUUGUACAUCUUGUUAUUUUUAUACUCCAUAUAACUAGGGGAAGUUGAAAAUCAUUAUGGUCAAAAAGGAAAUUUUACUAUUUCUAAACAAAACAUAAAAUUAGAUUGUACUUCACAUAAACUAAUUCAUUUUCUUUGUUUUUGACUCUUUACCUAAUUAUAAUUUCUUGUUGCCAUCUCAUCUACAUCAACCUUCCUUUGUUCAUUUUCAACCUAUAUUCAUUUGACAACUUUCAAAAACUCAAACCAACCAACCUACAUACAUCUCUUUUCUUUUUUUGUUAAUAUUUUCAACCAACUAACCAUGUUAAUUCAUUCCUUCAAUGUUAAUGUCUUUAUCAUCACUUAUGAUACAUGUCAUAUACAUAAUUAUACAUCAUAUAUACAUGAUUAUACACUAUUCAUAUAAUAUAAAUACAUUAAUAAUAGGGAAAAUUACAAGUAUAAGCAAACAUAUACUAGUUAAUUACUUAACAUAGCUAUAGUUUGUCUUAAUUACAAUUCACAACCUACUUUUAGUUAUAAUUACGCGGCUCAGCUUUUUAAUUUUGUAUAAUUCGCAUGUUUGUAUAAUUCGGAAUUUGUAUAAUAUAAUUUGUAUAACUUUUGUAUAAUUUGAAAUUUGUAUAAUAUAAUUUGUAUAAAUUUUUACACUUCUGAAGUUUGUAAUUGUAUAAAUUCGUUAUUUCGAGUUAAUACAAAAAAUAACUAAAUUAUACAAAUGUGCCCACGAAUUAUACAAACCUGCGAAUUAUACAAAUCCGCAAAUUAUACAAACGAGGCAGCUUAAACUGUAGCUACAUCCAGUAAAUAUGCAAACUAUAGCUAUGUAACAUAAUUAAGUUUAUUAUAGUGGCUAUUUGCCAAAGUUUCUCAUAAUAAUAAUAAGCCUCAUCCUCUUGGACUCGGGUUGGGCUAUUGUGGGUAAAUUACCCAAGGCGCAACCGGCUGUUAAAUCAUCGUCCCAAUUUUUAUUUAGUCGGCUGAGUAGAGUUGAAUAUAGAGAAAAUUAUAGAAAUCACUAUAGUUCCAUAGCUAAGUAAUUUUAGGAAAAAUUGUUUAAAUACAUAAAUAUUUCUAUCAUAUUUAUUAAUUGUUUCUAUAAUUUGAAAUAAUUAUAUUUUAUCUCACUAAUUAUUAAUUUUUUAUUAAAUUUUAAGUCAUAUACACCUAAAUACAUGUUCUUUUGCUACCCGAUACACUAAAAUUGAGAGAGAAGCGAGCGAGAGUAGGAGAGAGGCAAGUGAAAUUUGUCUAUGUAUCCCAGAUACAUGCGAAUUACACUAAAUACAUAUAUCUAGUGUGAUUCGCAUGUAUCUUGGAUACCAGAUACGCAAGCGAGAUAUGAGAGUGACGAGUGAGAUGGGAGGGAGGCGAAGGAGGCGAGCGAGAUUUUUCUAUGUAUCACAGAUAUAUGCAAAUCCACUUGGAUACAAUAUAUCUACAACAAAUUACACAUAGUUUUGAUCUCGUGUGCGAUGUGUCUAGACACACCAAUUUUUAUUUUAUAAUAUUACAAUUAGCAUGUAUCUUAGUAAUUAACUUCUAAGUUAAUAAUUAAAUGCAACUAGCUCGCUAUUUUGUUUCAAUAUUUAUUACUCAUAGAAAAUAUUUCGCAAGGUUUGUACCAACGAAUACAACCUAUAUAUUAAUGAGGAACUUUCACAUAUAGCCACUCAAAAAUAGCCUAAUUACUCUCCAUAGCUAUAAUUUGAUAAUUACAAUUCGUAGCUACAUGUUAUAGGAAGGAGAGCGGAGAGCGAGACUGGGAGAGAGAGGAGAGAGGCGAGCGAGAAAGAGGAAAGAGUGGGAGAGAGGUGAAUUGUAUAUGUAUAUCGGUUAGAUAAUUGUAUAUUAUACAUAUGUAUUUGUAUAUAUGGAAAGCGAGAUUGGGAGAGGGAGGAGAGAGACGAGNNNNNNNNNNNNNNNNNNNNNNNNNNNNNNNNNNNNNNNNNNNNNNNNNNNNNNNNNNNNNNNNNNNNNNNNNNNNNNNNNNNNNNNNNNNNNNNNNNNNNNNNNNNNNNNNNNNNNNNNNNNNNNNNNNNNNNNNNNNNNNNNNNNNNNNNNNNNNNNNNNNNNNNNNNNNNNNNNNNNNNNNNNNNNNNNNNNNNNNNNNNNNNNNNNNNNNNNNNNNNNNNNNNNNNGGGAGAGAGGUGAAUUGUAUAUGUAUAUCGGUUAGAUAAUUGUAUAUUAUACAUAUGUAUUUGUAUAUUCUGGCGAAUUAUACAUAUACAAACGUGGAUAAUUAUACAAACUCGAAGUCAGCCCACGUAAUUAAUGUAUAUAAUGUUAGUCGCGAGUGGUAAUUAUAACAAACUAUAGCUUUGAUGAGUAAUUAAGUAGUAUAAGUUUGCUUAACUGCGUAAUUUUUCCUAUUUUAUAUAUAAAGAAAAUAUUUAACACUAUUAUUUUUGAUGAAAUUAUUUUCAAAAUGAAAAUUUAAGUUAUAUACUUUUUUAUUUUACUUUUUGAAAAAUAGAUACAAUAGUAUACGUGAAUUUUAUAUUUAUAUAUAUAUAUAUAUAUAUUAUAAGGUGACACCGCUUGCAAAAAUUUAUGCGUAUGCCGCUGAUUGAUUUUUAUUUUGAUUUUGAGGCGCCAAACUUGUUUUGGGUACUCUAAAAAAUAUUUCUCCAAGGUCAUUGAACUCCAAACUGAAAUAUCAGUCAAAGUGUACCACACUUGUUAAAAAUCAACCCACAAUACACCAAAUACUAAAGAGUAAAGUUGUAAAGGACUUUUGGGAGAAUGAGAAGACAAAAAACCAAAAGGUUUUAUUUAAUAACUAAAAAAAGUUAAAAGAAGACCUUUUGUUUUUUUAUCUUAAAAAAGGUCACUUUUGUUCUCUCUUUAAAGAGAAAAACAGAACCAAAAAGAAAUUGAACAAAAAAACCUUAAUCUUUCCAAAAAGUCUAGGCUUGAACCCAGGCCACAAAAGCCUGACAAAAAAAUUAAACAAAAUGCCUAAGCUUGGGCUCGAACACGGAACCUGAAGUAGCUUUGAACACCCUUAGCCGCUGGGCUAUAUUUCUUUAUUGUAUCAAAAGUGUUCAACAAUUUGUAUAUAUCCAAAAAUAUUUCCAACGAAGGUUGUUCAUCUGACCACCAUCGCCAAGGCAUAACUCUGCUCCUGGAUAUGGGAAUAAGGCUAACGGAUGGAUGUUGUUUAUAUUAUUGAGAAAGAGAUAUACUAGGAUGAAUGAUGUUUAGAUUAACGGAACAUCAUAGAUAACUAAAAGAAAAGAUAAAAAUUACUUUCUUAAUUAACCUACUGUUAUUGACAUAACAUUAGAGAUAUAUAUCAGUAGUAUUAUGUUUUAGAUAACAUUUUAUUUGAAAAUUUCUUACUAUCCCUUUAUUCUAAUCAUUUCUCAAUAUGAUUUUGAAUUAAAUUAUAGUAUUAAUUUUUAUUUAUGAUUCUGCUAUAUAUAUAUAUAUAUAUACUUUUUAUGGUUUUUGUCUCCAUGCAGUUAUUUUGUUAAUAGUUUAAAUUUAUAUAAUAAUAUGAUUAUAUAAAAGUAAGGGUUAAUUCUAGUUAAUAAGAGUUGAGCCAUUUGUUUGCAAUAUAUCAUCUUUGAUAUUUUUAUAAAAACUUUAUUUACUAAUAAGAAGAUUUGAGUUGUUUAAUUUAAAGUUUUAAAAUAUUAUUGAUAAAAAUUAGAUAGUUCUUCUAUUUUUCUUUUUUUCAUUUCAAUUUUGUAUUUUUUUUUCAUAAUAUUUAAUAUUAUCUCAAGUGAAACUAUAAUUAAAAAAAUCACUAUUAAUUUUGUUAAUAUUCAUUGCAAUUAAUUCAAUGAUAAAUUUAGUUAAGUGAUUUUAUUGAUACAAAAGGUUAAGUUGAGUGAUUUUUUUUAUACAAAAAGUGUAAGUUGAGUUGCCAUCAGUUUUACUUUGUUCCCAUUUGGGAGAACCUCAAAUUCUGCUUAUUUUGAGAAUUGCUUUUGUUAGUUGCAACUCACAUGAGGUUCCUUUUGUUAUUUUUGCUCAGGUCUUGUUUGAUUUAUUUCAGCAUGAUUUACGCUUGUGGAAAGCAUAUAGCAUUACUUUAAAGGUAAAUUUGAUACAUUAUUUCUUGGAUACGUUGACUUUAUUUGUGCAUCUCACCGUGGUUUUCAUGUGCAUCUUCAGACCCAUCCAUCAUUUGCUGAAUACCAUGACUUGCUUGAAAGUUUGGAUGAAAAACUUUCAUCCACUUCAAAUUCAGAAGAGACGUGAGCUCUCUGGAUGUAAAGAGCUCCCUUGGUCAGCUUUGCUAUUAAUGGUUAAAAGAGCUCCCAGUGAGAUCUUCUACUUGAAGCUUUAACCGCACCAACUUGAAAUCAGCAUCAAUGUCUAAUUGCUCUAUUGGGAAGGGGGUUGAGCGGCUCUGCAAAAGGCACGAGAUGAGAUUUCGGUUCCUGUUCUACUUUUACCCUAUCUGUGUCCUGCAGAAUUUAUUUUGUAGAUAGGCAUAUCAUUGCUCCAUGGUCCUGUUUCUUUUUCAUGAUUUAUAGUUUGUAUCAAAUUUUAGCUUUGUCAUCAAGGGUGUAGGUGAUCGUAAUGAAAAGGGGCACCUCUUGUAUGAAAGAUCUGAUCUUCCGAUAAAUAGAGAAUAGAGAAGAUUUUGUGCAUUACUGCAUCACUCCUUUCCUUCUUUUUUAUUUAUUUACAGUUUAUACCAGAUUUCAUUGAGGGUGUGGGCGAUUGUAAUGAAAAGGGGGGACUCUUGGAUGAAAGAUUUUGAUCUUCUGAAAGUGAAUAUUUUGUGCAUUUCAUCAUGUGGACAAAUAAAGCUGAAUAUUUAUGCUUCAGAAUUCUUCACCCCAUAUUACUUCUUCUGAUUGUUCGAUCUAUGGUUCUGGGAGACUGCAGAGGAUACUUUAAGAAGAUAUUCGACAAAAAGUACUGUUAUCUUGGGCAACCAUACCCACAAUACCUAUUUUAAACACACAUAUUGAUUCAACCAGAAGACUGGAACAUAUUACAGGGCAUAAUAUCUAUAUAGAUACUGCUGCAUUCUUAUAGAGUCCUUUUAAGGUAGCUCUGGAAAUCACCAGGUGAAGCUGAUGGACUCGAAGUGCAGAUUUUCAACCAACCCAGAUGAGCAAAUGGCUGCUACGUCAUGCCUCAAGGUCUUCGGUCCAGAGGCAAGUACUCCAACACUUGAUCCUUUAACUUCUAGCAAUAUUCCUGCAAAAGAAUUUCAUUUAGUUACCAAGCAUAGAGAGUUGGGAAACGAAGUACUACUUAGUAGUUUUGAUUAUGCAAAGAUAUUGUAGUAAUUACUCUUGAGAUCAGGU